GAUGAACGCUUUCUUCUUUCCUAAUACAUGCAAGUCGAGCGAACGGACGAGAAGCUUGCUUCUCUGAUGUUAGCGGCGGACGGGUGAGUAACACGUGGAUAACCUACCUAUAAGACUGGGAUAACUUCGGAAAACCGGAGCUAAUACCGGAUAAUAUUUUGAACCGCAUGGUUCAAAAGUGAAAGACGGUCUUGCUGUCACUUAUAGAUGGAUCCGCGCUGCAUUAGCUAGUUGGUAAGGUAACGGCUUACCAAGGCAACGAUGCAUAGCCGACCUGAGAGGGUGAUCGGCCACACUGGAACUGAGACACGGUCCAGACUCCUACGGGAGGCAGCAGUAGGGAAUCUUCCGCAAUGGGCGAAAGCCUGACGGAGCAACGCCGCGUGAGUGAUGAAGGUCUUCGGAUCGUAAAACUCUGUUAUUAGGGAAGAACAUAUGUGUAAGUAACUGUGCACAUCUUGACGGUACCUAAUCAGAAAGCCACGGCUAACUACGUG
rnacentral:rRNA from 1 species